rnacentral:rRNA from 1 species
UGUCGACGAANUCAGAUUAGAGUUUGAUCCUGGCUCAGAACGAACGCUGGCGGCGUGGAUUAGGCAUGCAAGUCGAGCGUGAUCCUUCAAGCUUGCUUGAAGGUGAAAGCGGCGAACGGGUGAGGAAUACUUGGGUAACCUGCCGAAAAGUGCGGAAUAGCCUCGGGAAACUGGGGGUAAUGCCGCAUGUGAUCGUCCCGCAAAAGCGGGACUGUUUAAAGGGGGGGAUCUUCGGACCUCCCGCUUUUUGAUGGGCCCAAGCACUAUCAGCUUGUUGGUGAGGUAAUGGCUCACCAAGGCUAAGACGGUUAGCUGGUCUGAGAGGAUGGUCAGCCACACUGGGACUGAGACACUGCCCAGACUCCUACGGGAGGCUGCAGUCGAGAAUCUUUCGCAAUGCACGAAAGUGUGACGAAGCGACGCCGCGUGGAGGAUGACGGCCUUCGGGUUGUAAACUCCUGUCGGAGGGAAAGAACAGUUCACGAACGAAUACUUCGUGAAUUUGACGGUACCCUCAAAGGAAGCCACGGCUAACUCUGUGCCAGCAGCCGCGGUAAUACAGAGGUGGCGAGCGUUGUUCGGAUUUACUGGGCGUAAAGGGUGCGUAGGCGGUCUCGUGUGUCAGAUGUGAAAGCCCACGGCUCAACCGUGGAAUUGCAUUUGAAACUGCGGGGCUAGAGUAUCGGAGAGGUACAUGGAAUUCUUGGUGUAGCGGUGAAAUGCGUAGAUAUCAAGAAGAACACCAGCGGCGAAAGCGAUGUACUGGACGAAUACUGACGCUGAGGCACGAAAGCCAGGGGAGCAAAGAGGAUUAGAUACCCUCGUAGUCCUGGCCAUAAACGGUGUACACUUGGUGUGGGCGGAUUUAACCCCGUCCGUGCCGGAGCAAACGUGUUAAGUGUACCGCCUGGGGAGUACGGUCGCAAGACUAAAACUCAAAGGAAUUGACGGGGGCCCGCACAAGCGGUGGAGCAUGUGGCUUAAUUCGAUGCAACGCGAAGAACCUUACCUGGACUUGACAUGCCCGUCGUACCUGCCUGAAAGGGCGGGGUCAUUCAGUUGGACGGUGCACAGGUGCUGCAUGGCUGUCGUCAGCUCGUGCCGUGAGGUGUUGGGUUAAGUCCCGCAACGAGCGCAACCCUUGUUCUUAGUUGCCAUCAGGGAGCGAUCCGCUGGGAACUCUAAGAAGACUGCCGGUGACAAGCCGGAGGAAGGUGGGGAUGACGUCAAGUCUGUAUGGUCCUUAUGUCCAGGGCUGCACACGUGCUACAAUGGACGGUACAAUCGGUCGCGAAACCGCGAGGUGGAGCCAAUCCUCAAAACCGUCCCCAGUUCAGAUUGGAGUCUGCAACUCGACUCCAUGAAGCCGGAAUCGCUAGUAAAGGGACAUCAGCUACGGUCCCUUGAAUACGUUCCCGGGCCUUGUACACACCGCCCGUCACAUCAUGGGAGUUGUCUGCUCCCGAAGUAGCCGAUUCAACCCGCAAGGGAGAUAGGUUCCUAAGGAGUGGGCGAUGACUGGGAUGAAGUCGUAACAAGGUAACCA